rnacentral:miRNA from 1 species
UAACUCAAAGUCGUAGCUUCGGU